CCUCCUUUCCUUGGCAGGGUCUGGGUGUGCGGUCCCGCUCCCCGUUAUGUGCGGAGGCAGAGCGAAAGGGUCCCAGCCCUUCCGGUGGCAUGUCUUCGGUGUCGGCGGAUUCUGGUUCGCCAGUUCUAUCCUCAGACGCCGGGACACUU
ensembl:snoRNA